AGGCCAUUUUUGCGUAUCAAUACCACGAGUUUUGGUUUUUAUUUGGCGUACUAUUUAUACGCAUUUUCAUGAGAAUGGGCUCACUUUAAGUCCCACUCCGUCCUUUAAUUUCUAAUGCACGCUCACUUUUUCCCAGGCCCUCUGACAAAGUACAAAUCUGCCUACACCGUGUAUUUAUUUAUUAUUAUUUUAUUAUUAUUACUAUUUUAUUAUUUUUAUUUUUUGGAAAGGAACUUAAAUCCUACCUUGAACACUGUUCUUACAUCCAGCAACUCUAAAGCCAAGUCUCACUGUGUCAUAAAAUUUUCCUGAAUUUUACUCACGCCUGGCAUUGGCUUUGUAUGUUCUUAUCUAUAACAUACAUACAUAUAGCCUAUACGUACAACAUAUACAUUCCAUAUAAAUAAAUAAACAAACAAUCUUAAUUUUUUGUCUCUAUGGUGCAUUGUUUUGAAGGUAUUUUGGGGGCAAAUCAACUGAGCGCCUGUGACAGCAGCAUUUGUAGUUGUAGAGGAUACUCACACAUGUGUAUCAGUCAAUUUGAAGUCACAGACAAAAGUUGCAAACUUGAAGAUUUUUUCUCUCUUCCACGAACACAACACAAUGAGCUCACCUUCUCGAAUCCUUCAAUGCAGGUGCACAAAUCCUAUUCUAUGAAUCACAAAUUAAGAAACGUUUUGCUAUACUAUUGCUGCAGUGAAUACGAUGCAAAACACAUUCACACACCUGCAUCAAAAAUCACAGGUAGCUACAUCAGGCAAUUCUGUAGCCUCAAUAAAUCAAACAACACACUUUAAUAGGCUACAUUGCUGUCCAUUAAGUUUUCGUUUGAGGCUGAUUUCGACGCGUAGUUACCUGUCCAAAAUAGUUUAUGUGAUACGGGAACUUACACUAUGUUUACAAUUUGUCGCUUCAAGAUAAAAAGGAAACUCCGCCCAGUUCCGACGAGUAUUUCUGAAUACCGUUUUAAUGCUAAUCGGCCAUGCUGCAGAGAACUAUUAACUCUCGCUUUCGUUUUUACAAAGACACUGAAAGAUAAGGUAGACUGAGUAGUAUACAUUUGGGACAUGUGUACAGCUGAUAUCGGCAAAAGUUUUUCUUUUCCAAGGCCCUGCUGACCAAAAAAAAGAGAAGCACAUCUUCACUAAUUCAGUGCGGAACAGCUGGAGGUUGGAAGACCCACUGAAGGGGAAUAAAUAUGG